rnacentral:rRNA from 1 species
GACGUAGGGGGCCAGCGUUGUUCGGAAUUACUGGGUGUAAAGGGUUCGUAGGCGGUGUGGCAAGUCGGGUGUGAAAUCUCUGGGCUCAACUCAGAGACUGCUUCCGAAACUGCUGUGCUGGAGUGUGGGAGAGGCGCGUGGAAUUGCAGGUGUAGCGGUGAAAUGCGUAGAUAUCUGCAGGAACACCCGUGGCGAAAGCGGCGCGCUGGACCACUACUGACGCUGAGGAACGAAAGCUAGGGGAGCAAACAGG